rnacentral:snRNA from 1 species
GCUGGCUUCGGCAGCAUAUACUAAAAUUGGAACGAUAUAGAGAAGAUUAGCAUGGCCCCAGUGCAAGAAAAAAAAUUAUGCUAGGCGUUGUUUCAGAAAAUAUAUUU